rnacentral:lncRNA from 1 species
UGGGGCAGACUGUGGACGACCCCUACACCACUUUUGUCAAGAUGCUGCCAGACAAGGACUGCCGCUAUGCUCUCUAUGACGCAACCUAUGAGACCAAGGAGAGCAAGAAGGAGGACCUGGUAUUCAUUUUCUGGUGAGCGCCUUACCUCCUUAUCCUAGCUCUUUUGCCUGCCUCCUGUUCCCUACCUCAGAGCUUAACAGAAAUUGUCCCAGAUCUUGGUGGGGAGGGUUAGGGUUGUAACAAAACCCUCCCAGAGAGGAGCUAGGCAUAGUGGUGUCGGUACCCAGGUUGAGGGAGGCAGAGGGAAGCAGAUGUCUGUUGACUUGGAGACUAGCCUGGUCUGCAGGAAAACCCUGUUUUUCAAAAACAACCACCACCAAAACCAGUGGGGAACUUGGGAAAAGAAAAUCCCCACUGUUGAGUAUCCUAAAGGUUUCUUCUCCGGAGUCUUCUCUUCCUGGAGGUAGCUGCAUCCUUUUCCUCGCUUUGUCUUCAGGGCCCCCGAGAGUGCACCCCUUAAGAGCAAAAUGAUCUAUGCCAGCUCCAAGGAUGCCAUCAAGAAGAAACUGACAGGUAAGGAUCCCUUCCUUUGUAUGCACUUCUGUGUGAGCCAUGAUGGCAGUUUGGAAUACAUGACAAUACUGGGGUCCUCCGUUGUCCUGACAGCUGGGGUACCUUCUUCCUGUCCUCUGUUCUGAUGGCUCCUUCCUAGAUAAAGCCUCCCCAGUCCAGUGCUUCCUGUUCACUGCUCUCCUUUUUACCCCAUAGGAAUCAAGCACGAAUUACAAGCUAACUGCUACGAGGA